AUAGCAAAGAACAGAGGAGCCUGGAGUGCUGCAGUCCAUGGGGUUGCAAAGAGUUGGACAUACCUUAGCAACUGAACAACACCCAGGGAGGUGAGAGAAACCCCUCCCCUCCCCCAACCAUCCAACUUGAGAUGAUUGGAUCUGGAGCCUUGGUUAGGAGCUAUAGGUAAUUACCAUGUCUGAGCAGGACCAGUGAAUAGUAUGAGCUGAGGUAAAGCUUAAUCCUCUCUCUACCCACCAACAAUGAAAAGCUGUUGAACUGUCAAAUAGGGUUUGCAACUUUGAAGUAAAAAUGUUUCCUGCCACAUAUCAUCAAGUUGAACAAGUCCACACCUGUUCAUCUGGUCCUUGGUUAGUAGAAGGAAUGAAAAAGAACUGUGUGCCUUUGAGCUAAGGCAUUUUAAAUACUUAUUACUGUGAUUCACUUUCCAGCGUUCACCUUCAUUGCAGUUUUCCUUUCAUCUUGACACUGUAAGUAAUGCAUGAACCUUCCCUGUGGAACACUGCAGAUCUCAUUUAAAUGGUGAAAACGUCUCCAGCUCAGGCCCAUUUGCUACGCAAGAAAUAGGAGAUGUUUUUGUCAGGUUACAGCCAAAGGAUUCCUUGUAACAUGGGUACCUCUCAUUGGCUUCCAUCACUGUAUUCCUUUAACCAAUGGUUUCUGUUCUUUCAGUUAUCCUAAAAAUGGAUGGAAAAAUAAAUGGCUUCAUAGCAUUGUGCUGGGACUGAGAAAAUUGUUUAUACAUCUCCAUCAAAAACAAAACUUCAAGGACUUCCCUGGUGGUCCAGUGGGUGAGUGGAGAGCACAUAGAUUCAACCAAGGACUGACGACUGUGUUGAAGAGGCAGCUGUUAGCCCAGAGUCCUCCUGUCUCCCUACUGCGCUGGGACCAGACCUCCUCAGCCCAGUCUCAGCUGGUCAGUCAGCGUGGAACAUCUGGCAUAGUUUCCAUGACACUUGACUUGGGCUUCAGUAGGUGGGAUGGAAAAGGUUAGCCAAGGAAUGUUUACUUUUUCCGAUUUCAUGUGGCAGAUAGAAUUACCAUCCCUAAGAUUUCAAAAUGGUAUACUUAUCAAAAUCUGAAAUUAGUCAACAUCUUUGCUCUUUCUCCAGAGAAAGAAAGGUCUGUGAACACCUUAACUACAUCUACUUUCUGUCUGACUUACAUAAUUUUGUUAGGCACAUAUUAUAAUUUUUAAUAAAUGUUAUUCAUUUAAAAAAAUAGUUUAAUGAAGGUGAUUUGACCCCUGCUCAGAGUAGUCUGCUUAGCCUGGAGACCAAGCCCUGCCUUCAUUCUUCAUUAGCUGCCCCGCUGAGUGGCUAACACAGAAGUAGAGGGGGAAUGUCCUUGUCCCUGAGUUCCAGGAAAGGACGUUUUUUUAAAAAGACUUUCUAGAUUGAUGUAUUGGGGCAGAAACGCUAAAACAGACAAUAUUUGAGGUGAAGUUUUCAAUUUUACUCUUUUCAGAAAAGCAGUGUACUGAUAAGAAUCUACUGAGAUACAAGGCCUAGCAGAAAUGACAAGAUGCAGUCACCGUGCUCAUGGCACUUAAACCAGCGGCUCCUGUGGAUAGAACAGAAUCUUAAGAAUGGCCUGCUGAGUGCUGAGCAUGCUUUCACUUGUAAGAAAUUAAACUCAGAAACACUAAACACAAUUCCUUGAUGUGAUUUCCUGUUGGUUCAUCUAUAUACUCUAGAAGAUUCCUGAGGAGAGGUUUAUUGCUCACCGGAAUUUAGUGCAAGAGUCCUCCAACAGUGUUGACUGUUUGCUAAGAGCCCCCUCUCAGAGCCAAAUUAUCCACUUCCCUUUCCCAGUGAGUUUAACGCAGAUCAUACAUUUAUCAAAAAUAUAGAAACAGGGACUUCCCCAGCAGUCCAAUGCUUAAGAAUCUGCCUUCCAAUGCAGGGGACUCAGGUUUGAUCCCUGAUUGGAAAGCGAAGAUCCGACACACAGUGGGGAGACUAAGCCCAAACACUGCUGAGCAAUCCCAAUACAGCCAAAAAUAAAUACAUAUUAAAAAAAAAA